rfam:Gaeumannomyces graminis var. tritici R3-111a-1 unplaced genomic scaffold supercont2.5, whole genome shotgun sequence.
GUCCUCGUAGCGCAGUGGUUCAGCGCCAGGAUGUCUUCUUUGGAAGACGCAGGUUCGAAUCUUGCUGGGGACA